rnacentral:tRNA from 1 species
CAGUAGCUCAGUCGGAUAGAGCAACGGCCUUCUAAGCCGUGGGUCGGGGGUUCGAAUCCCUCCUGUCG